GCUGCCCCUGAGAACUUCUGCCUCGCCGGACCCUACCUCCAGGGACAGCUCUCCGUGAUAGGACUCUUUCCGCUGGCACCACUGGGACAUCCUGACUGACAUCCGGAGGUUACUGGCUAAGGCAAAAACCUAUUGCCAGGCUAUUUUAGGUGAACUAACAGAAAGAAAAAAAAAAAGGACAGAAGAAAAUCAGCGCGGGGACGUCACAGCUAUUUUUAGAUGGACCUCCUCUCCCUCCAGGACUCAGGCGCUGUUUGGGAACCUGGUGUCUUGCCUCCCGCAGCCUGCCCUGCCAUGCCCAGAGGAAGCAUCCACAGACACGCUGUUUGCAGCCUGUUUUGAAGAGGAUCGCAGGGCCCGGCACAGAGGGGGCAAAGGAAGAACACUGUUGAUGACUCACUGCCCGGCGCAUAAGGUGUGUGGGGGCCAGGAGAGGCUGACCGGUUGGCGUCUCCUUUCUCCAUUAGGGUUUCUUUGCCUCCUGCUCACCACUGUGUUUGGGCAGAUUCACAGGGUUGCCAUGGGAACAAAUUGCCUGGAGGAAAGAACAAAAACAAGCACUGUGAAGACUUGGGUUUGAAUCCUGGCUCUGCUAUUUUCCUGCUCUAUGGCUUUGGCCAUGCUAUCAAAUGUCCACCACCCUUCUCUACAAUCUGCACUUCCUGAAAAAUGGAGACCCUCUGGCCUCCCU